CUCAUAGAGGAUCCAAUUCCACUUACAAUAUCGUUUUCUGGACUGUGCAAGAAAGACAAUAAAGAACAUAUUAUUCAAAUCUUUUUUUUUUUUUUUUGGUCGAAAAGGAACAUUCAUUAAUUAAGUAGAAAAUGUUACACCUUUCCCAACGGAAGGCAAAAGUAACCCAAAGUAAAUUGGGGGAAUCAAGUACAUAAAGCCAGCCCAACAAGCAAACUAGCAAAAAUUAAAACCCUAAUCUAUAAUUGCCAAACCGAGAUUUAGUCGCCAGAUUUGAACCACCAUGAAAAAUCCCUGCAAAUAUAUACAAUGUUUUUAUCACAAAUGGUCCUUGAAAUUGACUCUCACCAUCAAGGUGGUCAUUGAAAUUGAAAAUCAAUCAAUGUAGUCCUUAAAAAUAGGUGUUCCAAAUCAAUGUGGUCAUUCCGUCACAAUUAUGUUCAAAAUUCCGUUAAGUGCUAAUGUGGCACGUAAAUGGAUCCCACAUGAUUUACGGGUUUUAAUCACAAAUUGACCCACACCAUCAAGAUGAUCCCUAAAAUUGAAAAUCGAUGAACACAGUCCUUGAAAAUAGGUGUCGCAAAUCAAUAUGAUCCUUUUACCACAAUUAUGUAAAAGGUUUUGUUACGUGCUAAUGUGGGUUUAAUAAUUAAUUAAAAAAAGUUGUUUAAAUACCUUUUUGCACAAUUAAUUUUUUUUUCUCAUAGUAGGGCCUGCUCUGAAUAGAACUCUUCCAUAAAUUCUGAAAUGCACAAGGCUUAACCAAGGCCUUAGAGGGGGUUUGGAAAUAGUUUUCAACCAACAAUAGACGCACCUCAAUUAUAACCUCAUUAUCUCAAGGCAGACUUAACCGUUCUUUGAGUCACCAGACCACCAGGAAAGUGUCGAACAAGCUCUCCAAGAUAAGGUUGUGAUGAUGUUGAUCACCUAAAUGUUAACGGUGAUGUCCCAUAAGUUGUUGUCAAUCGACCACGUCAUCACCAAACGUGAUCUUGAUCCAUGUUCAAUUCGGUGAAGUGUGUCAAAGUGUGUAAAGAUAGGUGUAUUGAGUUUUUUUUUAGAGAAUAGAUAGCAAAUGAGGUAGAUGAAUGUGGACUGGGAUCGGAGGUGACUGCAAGACUGAGUUUUUGGGUUGACAACUUUUUAUUAACAAUUAAAUUAUUAAACUGUUUGUAAUUUUUUAAUUUAAUUAGACUUGGGUAACCCAUUUAUGUGUCACAUCAGCACAUAAUAGAAUUUUUGAUAGAAUUGUGACAGAA
rnacentral:lncRNA from 1 species